CGUAGCCUACGGAAGGCAGCAGUGGGGGAUAUUGCACAAUGGGGGAAACCCUGAUGCAGCAACGCCGCGUGAGUGACGAAGGUCUUCGGAUUGUAAAACUCUGUUCUUGGGGAAGAUAAUGACGGUAGCCAGGGAGAAAGCUCCGGCUAACUACGUGCCAGCAGCCGCGGUAAUACGUAGGGAGCGAGCGUUGUCCGGAAUUACUGGGUGUAAAGGGUGCGUAGGCGGCCUUGCAAGUCAGGCGUGAAAACCAUGGGCUCAACCCGUGGACUGCGUUUGAAACUGUGAGGCUUGAGUGAAGUAGG
rnacentral:rRNA from 1 species